AGAACGAACGCUGGCGGCAGGCUUAACACAUGCAAGUCGAACGCGUGUUAGCAAUACACGAGUGGCGCACGGGUGAGUAACGCGUGGAUAUCUGCCUUUUGGUUCGGAAUAACCCCGGGAAACUGGGGCGUAAUACCGGAUGGUUCCUACGGGAUAAAGAUUUAUCGCCAAAAGAUGAGUCCGCGCACGAUUAGCUAGUUGGCGGGUAAUGGCCCACCAAGGCAGUGAUCAGUAG
rnacentral:rRNA from 1 species